GCGUGUGUGAAGAAGGCCUGCGGGUUGUAAAGCACUUUCAGUAGGGAGGAAAAGCCUGAUGAUAAUACCAUCGGGUCUUGACGUUACCUACAGAAGAAGCACCGGCUAACUCCGUGCCAGCAGCCGCGGUAAUACGGAGGGUGCGAGCGUUAAUCGGAAUUACUGGGCGUAAAGCGCGCGUAGGCGGCUCAGUCAGUCGGGUGUGAAAGCCCCGGGCUUAACCUGGGAAUUGCAUUCGAUACUGCUGGGCUGGAGUAUGGUAGAGGGAAGUGGAAUUUCCGGUGUAGCGGUGAAAUGCGU
rnacentral:rRNA from 1 species